rnacentral:rRNA from 1 species
UACGGGAGGCAGCAGUGGGGAAUAUUGCACAAUGGGCGCAAGCCUGAUGCAGCCAUGCCGCGUGUAUGAAGAAGGCCUUCGGGUUGUAAAGUACUUUCAGUCGUGAGGAAGGUGUUAAGGUUAAUAACCUUAGCAAUUGACGUUAGCGACAGAAGAAGCACCGGCUAACUCCGUGCCAGCAGCCGCGGUAAUACGGAGGGUGCGAGCGUUAAUCGGAAUUACUGGGCGUAAAGGGCACGCAGGCGGUUAAUUAAGUUGGAUGUGAAAUCCCCGGGCUUAACCUGGGAAUGGCAUUCAAGACUGGUUAGCUAGAGUCUUGUAGAGGGGGUAGAAUUCCAUGUGUAGCGGUGAAAUGCGUAGAGAUGUGGAGGAAUCCGGUGGCGAAGGCGGCCCCUGGACAAAGGCUGACGCUCAUGUGCGAAAGCGUGGGGAGCAAACGAGGGAUUAGA